rnacentral:rRNA from 1 species
GAUGAACGCUAGCUACAGGCUUAACACAUGCAAGUCGCGGGGCAGCAUGGGGGUUGCUUGCAACUCCCGAUGGCGACCGGCGCACGGGUGAGUAACGCGUAUCCAACCUGCCCUUCACCACGGGAUAACCCGGCGAAAGUCGGACUAAUACCGUAUGUUGUCCAUUGACGGCAUCCGAUUUGGACGAAAGGCUUUGCGGUGAAGGAUGGGGAUGCGUCCGAUUAGCCAGACGGCGGGGUAACGGCCCACCGUGGCUACGAUCGGUAGGGGUUCUGAGAGGAAGGUCCCCCACACUGGAACUGAGACACGGUCCAGACUCCUACGGGAGGCAGCAGUGAGGAAUAUUGGUCAAUGGGCGUAAGCCUGAACCAGCCAAGUAGCGUGCAGGAUGACGGCCCUAUGGGUUGUAAACUGCCUUUAUGCGGGGAUAAAGUGGCCCACGUGUGGGCUUUUGCAGGUACCGCAUGAAUAAGGACCGGCUAAUUCCGUG